rnacentral:rRNA from 1 species
AGAGUUUGAUCCUGGCUCAGGACGAACGCUGGCGGCGUGCCUAACACAUGCAAGUCGAGCGGAGACAGUGAGUAGCUUGCUAUGAGCUGUUUUUAGCGGCGGACGGGUGAGUAACGCGUGAGCAACCUUUUCCCAGACAGGGGGAAUAACACACCGAAAGGUGUACUAAUACCGCAUAAGACCACGGAAUCACAUGGUUCUGAGGUAAAAAGAUUUAUCGGUUUGGGGUGGGCUCGCGUCCGAUUAGGUAGUU